rnacentral:rRNA from 1 species
GACGAACGCUGGCGGCGUGCUUAACACAUGCAAGUCGAACGGAAAGGCCCUGCUUUUUUGGUGUUCUCGAUUGCCGAACGGGUGAGUAACACGUGAGUAACCUGCUCUUCACUUUGGUAUAACUUCAGGAAACUGGGGCUACUACCGUAUAGGAUCUCCUGCUGCAUUGUGGGGGUUGGAAAGUUUCGGCGGGUGGGGAUGGACUGGCGGCUGAUCAGCUUGUUGGUGGGGUAGUGGCGUACCAAGGCUUUGAAGGGUAGGCGGCAUGUGAGGGUGAACGGCGACAUGGGGACUGAGAGAGGGAGCAGAGUCCAACGGGAGGCAGCAGGGGCGAAUAUUGCCCAGUGGGCGGAAGUCGGAGGAAGCAACGCUGGGGGCGGGAUGACGGCCUUCGGGUUGUAAACCGCUUUAGCCUGUGACGACGCGGGAGUGACGGUAAUGGGUAAAGAAGCACCGGCUAACUACGUG